rfam:Gossypium raimondii Chr12_contig_846, whole genome shotgun sequence.
CUUCAUGAACCAACUGAGGACAUAUGAAAUGCACAUGACAGUCAAUAGCCCCUGCAGUUACGAUCAAUCCUUCUCCGGCAAUAACCUCGGUGUUAAUCUGCAAGUCGAUGGUAUCAGUCAUUAGUACAGCAGAUAAUUAUACUCGGACACUGACUUGAUACAAGAAAACUUACACCGAUGGUCAUGUUCUCAGAUACACCAUCCAUGGUAUCUGGGUUGCCUGCUUUCCCAAGUCCAACAAUACAGCCAUUUUUAACACCAAUAUCUGCCUUAAAUAUACCAGUGUAGUCGAUGAUUACAGCAUUUGUUAUAACAAUGUCUAAAGAUUUAUCUGGUAAAUGCCCACAAGAUUGUCCCAUGCCAUCCCUUAU